AUAGAGAAUUAUCAGACAACUUAGGUCAACCAGUCAACUGUAUUGCAAUGUCAAAUGAUGGUAACUGCAUAUUAGCCAGUUGCUUAGAUUCUACUUUACGUCUUCUGGACAGAUCUACUGGUGAACUCUUGCAAGAAUACAAAGGCCAUACUUGUAAGUCCUACAAACUGGAUUGCUGCCUUACCAACACUGAUGCCCAUAUAACUGGUGGAUCUGAGGAUGGUUUCAUUUAUUUCUAGGGUCUGGUGGAUGCAUCAGUGGUUUCAAGUUUCCAA